GUGGGAAGAAAACUUGAUCUAAAGUCUAAGUUGUUAACGGAUAUGAUAUGGGAAGGUUGAGCUGCUGUUUAUCUAUUUCUAGAGAUGCUAGAAUUCUAGAGAAUUUUAUCUUUGAAAAUCUUUAAAAUAUUACAUGAUGAGUUCCUGUAUGAUGAGAGUUUAAAUUCCUACCACAGCCAUAUAUACAUGCUUGCUAGACUUUGAGCCACACAUUUACUUUUUACUACUUAUGAUCAUUGAGUGUGGUCAAGCUGUGUAGACCCUUAGGAGCUUGUCAUGUGGUUAAAAUCAAGAUUCACUUGCACGUUCAUUCACACAUGCUGCUUCUACCCCGGAAGUACGCAUCCACAUACAUCCACUCAAUUCCAUCUCCAGAACUACCCAAAAAUAUUCUACUCCUAAUCCGGUAGAGAAUAGCCAAAAACAUUUCUGUUUUCCCCUGUGAAAUAAAUGCUCAAGUUAUCUUGGUUACUACCACUUGCUAUAUUAUUUCAAGAGAUGAGUGACUUAAAAAAAGAUACGAGGAAAUAAAAAGGGGCAAGUGCCCGGAACCUCGAAAGAAGAGAAAAAGUAAGACGAGAGGUAAAAAUGGACAAGUGUCCGACAGUAGAAUUAGGGGUACAAAAUACCCACCUGAGAGGAAAAAAAAGUAAAAGUAGAGCAUCUCAUCUUCCUCAAAAGUUUCAAAAAAAAGCAAGGAAGGUAUGUAUCCCCUCAAAAGAGCAAAAGUAGAAUUAGACUUUCACCAUUGUUAUCACAAUCAUCAUCAUACACCAUUCAUUCGCCACAC
rnacentral:lncRNA from 1 species